UGGGGAAUCUUCCGCAAUGGACGAAAGUCUGACGGAGCAACGCCGCGUGAGUGAAGACGGCCUUCGGGUUGUAAAGCUCUGUGAUCCGGGACGAAAGAGCCUGAGGUGAAUAGCCUAAGGAAGUGACGGUACCGGAAAAGCAAGCCACGGCUAACUACGUGCCAGCAGCCGCGGUAAUACGUAGGUGGCAAGCGUUGUCCGGAAUUAUUGGGCGUAAAGCGCGCGCAGGCGGCUUCCUAAGUCCAUCUUAAAAGUGCGGGGCUUAACCCCGUGAUGGGAUGGAAACUGGGAAGCUGGAGUAUCGGAGAGGAAAGUGGAAUUCCUAGUGUAGCGGUGAAAUGCGUAGAGAUUAGGAAGAACACCGGUGGCGAAGGCGACUUUCUGGACGAAAACUGACGCUGAUGCGCGAAAGCGUGGGGAGCAAACAGG
rnacentral:rRNA from 1 species